AUGUUGUUGAACUCCAACUUCCAUCAGACCUAGCCAGCCUCACCAACAGUAGGAUGAUGGGAGUUCUAAUCAAUGGGACUUACUCUCAGGAAGCCAAACUGGGAAAGAAGUGGCAACAAUGAGUCCAGGAAGAGUUAAAAACAAACUAAAAGAACUGUACUGAGCAGGUAGGACAUUCUCUGUGCUGCCAAGGCCACUGUGCUCGCUGUGUCUACGUCACAAAAUCAAGAAGCGUAGAAGGAGCAUGAGUGGAUGUUUGUGCCUCCCAGCCUUUCAAUCUAACUUGCGGUGACAGGACCAGAGAGGGGAAGAGCAGGAAGAACUGUGGAGGAAGAGGAGCAUCUGCCUUCUCUCUCCCAUCAACUGGACAUAAGGGUUGCAACCUGGAAAACUGAUUGCACAGCCACAACAGGCAGAAAAGAAUAACACAGCACCAUACCAAAGAGUCUCCCAACCCUCGCUGGAUGCCCCAUGGAGCUACCCACACAGGCAUGGUAAAGAGUGAUCUAGCGGCCAGGCGUGGGGAACACAAGACCCCACAAG